rnacentral:lncRNA from 1 species
AGCCAGGGGAGGAGAGCCUCCUAUUGGCAAGAGGUACCCUGUGCCUCUGACCUUCUCCACCCAUCUGAGGAAAUGGGCUCUUGGUUCAGAAGCGCCAUCUCACUGGAGAUGGCAUAUCAUAGAGGAUUCUAGAUCCCCUAGAUCUAGAAUGGGCUCUAGAAUGAGGACCCCAGCACAGCCACGCAUCAGCUGUGUGACCUCGGGCCAGUGGCCUGCCCUCUCUGUGCCUCACUUUGCCUAUCUCUAACAGGAGAAUGACAGAGUGUCCACUUCCUCAGGGCAGUAGUGGGGUUAAAUGAGGCAGCGCAAGGACAGGGCUCAGAGCAGAGCCAGGCACACAGUAGGAACGAGCGAACGUUAGCCACUAGGCUUGGCCCCAGGCCCUCGUGCCUGCUCCCAAGUGCCCCCGGCUCUGCCCCUCUGGGGUCAGCGUCCACAUUAGCAGGCCACUGCUGGUGCACAGGUCCUCUCUGCACAGGCAGUUCUUUAUUACUGGCACGUGGUUUGUCCCUGACAGCCUUCAAACCCCGAAUGUCUUCUCUCUGCCACCUCUCACAUCCCCAGCCACCUCCUCCCACGCCNNNNNNNNNNNNNNNNNNNNNNNNNNNNNNNNUUUUAACAUUGUUCUAAGCCAAACAUAAUUAGGAAGGUAAAUCUAUAACAACAGCUAAAUCACAUAAUGCAUUCCAAAUCCAAGGAAACGUCACUGGGGGGCGUCUCGGGGUCUCGGGCCCUCCAAAUCAUGAAAGUGAUGGCCGCGUUUUCCCCUGGCUGUCCCCCUGCCCGCCUCUGUGCCCUCCCCAGCAGCCUGCACAAGAACAGAACUGGCUCCUGGCUUCUCCAGGCCCACACAGAGUUCUCCAUUCCGCGUGCAUACCCACAGCAGAUGGAUUCUUCUGGAAAUGUCGGCGACCACUCACUCAGCCGGCAGCUGCUGGCCAUCCGCCACAUGCCAGCGCUGCAGAGAGGCACGGAGCACAGCGCUGCCCGAGAACCACCAACUCUGAUGGGGCGGGUGGAUCCCAUCAGCAGCUGCCCUAAGGUCGAGCAGCGGCAGCCCCACGUGCUCAGCAGCUGUGGGAGGGACGGCUGA